rnacentral:rRNA from 1 species
AGCGAACGCUGGCGGCAGGCCUAACACAUGCCAGUCGAACGAACCUUUCGGGGUUAGUGGCGGACGGGUGAGUAACACGUGGGAACGUGCCUUUAGGUUCGGAAUAACUCAGGGAAACUUGUGCUAAUACCGAAUGUGCCCUUCGGGGGAAAGAUUAAUCGCCUUUAGAGCGGCCCGCGUCUGAUUAGCUAGUUGGUUGAGGUAAUGGCUCACCAAGGCGACGAUCAGUAGCUGGUCUGAGAGGAUGAUCAGCCACAUUGGGACUGAGACACGGCCCAAACUCCUACGGGAGGCAGCAGUGGGGAAUCUUGCGAAAUGGGCGAAAGCCUGACGCAGCCAUGCCGCGUGAAUGAUGAAGGUAUUAGGAUUGUAAAAUUCUUUCACCGGGGACGAUAAUGACGGUACCCGGAGAAGAAGCCCCGGCUAACUUCGUG